rnacentral:rRNA from 1 species
AUUGAACGCUGGCGGCAGGCCUAACACAUGCAAGUCGAGCGAGCGGCGGACGGGUGAGUAAUGUAUGGGGACUGCCCGAUAGAGGGGGAUAACUACUGGAAACGGUGGCUAAUACCGCAUACUAUCGGAUAACCCAUAUGGGAUUAGCUAGUAGGUGGGGUAAAGGCUCACCUAGGCGACGAUCGCUAGCUGGUCUGAGAGGAUGAUCAGCAACACUGGAAAUGGGACAGGGCCAAGACUCCUAGGGAGGCAGAAGUGGGGAAUAUUGCACAAGGGGCGAAAGCGUGAUGCAGCAAUGCGGCGGGUAGGAAGAAGGCCUUAGGGUGGUAAAGUAAUUUCAGCGGGGAGGCGUUACCCGCAGAAGAAGCACCGGCUAACUCCGUGCCAGCCGCCGCGGUAAUAC